rnacentral:miRNA from 1 species
CUCCUCGCUAUGGCCUCAGGC